rnacentral:rRNA from 1 species
CGAGCAAUCUGCCCUUCUCUUCGGAAUAAGCGUGGGAAACCGCGUCUAAUGCCGAAUACGACCUCCUUUCGCAUGAUCGGAGGUGGAAAGCUCCGGCGGAGAAGGAUGAGCUCGCGGCCUAUCAGCUAGUUGGUGCGGGUAAUGGCCCACCAAGGCGACGACGGGUAGCCGGCCUGAGAGGGUGACCGGCCACACUGGGACUGAGACACGGCCCAGACUCCUACGGGAGGNAGCG